AUUUUGUGGAGUGCAGAAAUCUUGCCUGUUUUUAUUAGUUUGUUAAAACUGUGUAAUCCAAAAAGAUGAACCUUUUGUAUGCAAUUAAAACACAUAAUCUUAGUUUCUUGAGUGUAAGGCUGUGCUUGGAUUAUACAGUAGCUCUGGUGUGCACCUGUGUCUGUAGUGAUCUCUCGGCUUCUGCUUUCUGCCCAAACUCAGUUUUCCUCAGCACCGGCAGCCCUGCGCCCAGCCCUGAAAACCAUCCAGCAAAACCUGGGAGUUUAAAUCCAAUCAUGCCUUUGCUUGGAGCGGAGACCCGGGCCGUCUGACUGCGAUCUGAAGGUUCGGCCGAGGCUCUGAAGAGCAGCUUUCUGAUGUCUGUGGGAGGCCGGACGAGUGGAUUCUUCACAGCAAUUCUAGACUUCUGAACGCUGAAGUCUAAAGAGGAGUCCUCGAAAGCCUAAGGAUAAACAGCCCUUUAAGGUUUAGGUUCAGCUCGUUGGUAGGACGACAUUUAACUCAACAAAAUAUUCUAGAUUACCUGUAGGGUUAGAUCAAAUUUUUCUUUUGUCUUCACCUCUGGAAGGUCUUCGCUCACUUGAUCAAAUCCUCUUUUCACCCCAGGUCUGCUGACUUCCAUCAAGUCCUCAUGACUUCUCAACACUGUUUCUCCAGCGAUGGACUUCUGCAUCUGCUCAUGACGUCCAUCAGCUUCAGUGCUUUCACACUCUGGUGAACUAAUAUGUUCUUCACUGCUUACGGUUUCCACCCUACUGUCCAUUGUCUCAGCUAAUAACAUCGGUUCUUCUUCCAGGACAGAAGCAUCUGCAGACACACACCGUGCAGGUGCCUGAUGUUCUGCAUCACCAGGUUCUUCUGUUGAAAGUCCUACCAAAGGUUCUGUUUUUUCCACCAAGUUACAUUCUGUUUCCAUCAUUUCCUCCAAGACUUGAUUUGUUAUUUCUUCUACAUACUCUAAAGCGGUCUUCGCCACAUCUGUCUCUGAUUUGCCCUGCAGAUCUAGAGGUUCCUCCAGAAGCUCUGUUGAUACAUGCUCUGCAGUUCCAGUGCUUUCAGACGUGCUUGAAUUCCUCUGUGUUUCACUGAAAGUGUCCAUUGUUCCUUGAGACGAUUUGCAUUGUCCUUCUGUGAACUCAAGAAGCUCGUGUGGCUGUAAAGGGACAUUUCUGAUGACAGGUGAUCGACUUUCUAUCUCAAAGGCUUCUGCUUCCUCGUCUCCUGAACGGAUCUUUGUUUCAGUUCUGAAUUCAACAUGUUCUUUGAGCGAGAGCUCGGUUUGGUCUGUUUGGAUUAAAGUUUCAGUGUCGUGUUCAGUCUCGGCUGCUUUCUCCGAGCGCUCAGCGUCUCUUUCUGCCUGCUCUUCUGCAGGAGUUUGGGGAUUGUGUAGCUUAGCUUGGAUCUCCUCAAAACAUUGCCAAUCAGUCUCUAGUCCUCUCCUCGAUUCUCCAGAGAACUCGCAAACAGUCAGACCUGAAAAAAUGCCUUCAGUUUUGGUGGCCAGCACAGAUGAGCCAGUUCCUGAUUCUGGAAUAUUUUCUGAAGUGUGCUGUUCUGAAUCUGACAGCAGGGUGUCUUCUAAUGCAUGGACGGUUUCAUCCGCUGCUGUGGUCAUUUUCAGGACUGUUUCAUCAUUUGGUGCAUGUUUUUCUGAUUCAGACUCCGUUAGCUCAUAUUUAGUCAGGUCUUGUUCCCUUUCUGCGGUGUCUUCAUCCUGCUCAGUUCUAAGAAUCAUCUCCUCAAGCCCAUUUUUAGAGAAUUCAUUGAUUUCAUCAGAAUAUUUGUCUAUUUGUUUCAGUCUCUCAGGCUUUGAAAUGCGGUUUGCUUCAUCUGUCAGAUAUUCCAGUAAAUCCUGCACUUGUGAUUCAGUCCCCUGAUCUUCAUCACUCUCAGUUUUCCUCUGAUUCUUCUGGACAAUGAUUUGUUUCUCUGUUUCAUCAGUAGGAUGUUUUAAACCUCCAGUGUCUUCUGUCUGUCCAUGAUCCAUCAUGCUGAUCUGUUUGUCCUGUUCUACAUCUUGCACAGACUGGAUCAUUACGUCUGUGUUACCUUGAUCUUCUCUCAUCAUAUCACACUUUUCCACUUCACGAUCCUGAUCACGUUCUUCACUGUCUCCAUCUUUUUGUUCAAAGCUCCCGAUUUCUUCCAACUCUUGUGCAGUUUGACUCUCCUCCUCCGGCUCAGUUGCUCUUCCAGUUCCAAGAAUCAUCUCCUCAAUCUGGUUUUUAGAGACAUCAGCAAUUUCAUCAAAAUAUUUGUCUGUUUGUUUCAGUCUCUCAGGCUUUGAAAUGCGGUUUGCUUCAUCUGUCAGAUAUUCCAGUAAAUCCUGCACUUGUGAUUCAGUCCCCUGAUCUUCAUCACUCUCAGUUUUCCUCUGAUUCUUCUGGACAAUGAUUUGUUUCUCUGUUUCAUCAGUAGGAUGUUUUAAACCUCCAGUGUCUUCUGUCUGUCCAUGAUCCAUCAUGCUGAUCUGUUUGUCCUGUUCUACAUCUUGCACAGACUGGAUCAUUACGUCUGUGUUACCUUGAUCUUCUCUCAUCAUAUCACACUUUUCCACUUCACGAUCCUGAUCACGUUCUUCACUGUCUCCAUCUUUUUGUUCAAAGCUCCCGAUUUCUUCCAACUCUUGUGCAGUUUGACUCUCCUCCUCCGGCUCAGUUGCUCUUCCAGUUCCAAGAAUCAUCUCCUCAAUCUGGUUUUUAGAGACAUCAGCAAUUUCAUCAAAAUAUUUGUCUGUUUGUUUCAGUCUCUCAGGCUUUGAAAUGCGGUUUGCUUCAUCUGUCAGAUAUUCCAGUAAAUCCUGCACUUGUGAUUCAGUCCCCUGAUCUUCAUCACUCUCAGUUUUCCUCUGAUUCUUCUGGACAAUGAUUUGUUUCUCGGUUUCAUCAGUAGGAUGUUUUAAACCUCCAGUGUCUUCUGUCUGUCUAUGAUCCAUCAUGCUGAUCUGUUUGUCCUGUUCUACAUCUUGCACAGACUGGAUCAUUAUGUCUGUGUUAUCUGCAUCUUCUCUCUUCUCUGCACACUUCUCAACCUCACGAUUCUCAUCACAUGCUUCUUUAUUGUCACCAUCAUUUUGUUCAGUUUUUCCAGUGACCUCCAGCUCUUGUGCGGUUUCUCUCUCCUCAGUCUCACAGUUUGCAUGUUCUUCUUCGGCUGGAACCUCAUCAGAUGAAACUUUCUCAGCUGUGCGUCCUUUGCUGUCUGUAUCUGUCCCAGUGGACCACGCUGCACAAUGGUAAGUUUGUUUUUUUGUGGUAUGAACAUUGAGUUUAUCAUUAUUGUCGAUCUUAACCACACCAGUGUUUUCCCACUGUACAGAAGCAGCCACUCUGACUUUAGAAGGGGAACACUUGACCUCUGCUCUGUCAUUUUCAUUGUCGCUUUUAUUUGUCUUUCCUUCUCGGUCAAUCUUGUUUACUGCACUUUUCAAGUCAAUUUCAUCUGUUCUGGCAUGAACACUUUGGUUUCCUUCAUCUGUGACUUCCGGUCUGAGAUAUCUGGUAACAGCCCCAGACAGAUAACCCUGUAUGAGCAAAACAUUGAGCACAUGAGUCAGUGAAGGAACCAUCUGCCUCAUCAAGACACAGAGAUCAUUAGUGUCCCUGCAGCACAGAAGCAGUCAUCAGUAGCACAGGUAUA
ensembl:lncRNA